UAGAUAACAAUAGCAGUUAUUUUCAAUGUGAAGAAUAGUGGGUGCCCUACUAGGAGACAGGUCAAGCUGGAUAUUCAUUCAAACAUAUAUGCCUUAUGUUUUUUUGCUUCUGUUUGUUCUUUGAUACAUUGUACAGGCGUUCAGACGCCCGUCAUACUACUUCCAACAAUGGGUGUUUUUCUUCCCAUCAGAUUCACAAAUACAAUGUCUUACUGCUUCAGGUUUUCCACCAGCAAAAUAAAUUGGAAAUAAUUUCGGAACUUACUAAUACAGUAGUCAGUUGUUAGCCAUUUUGCAGAGGCUCCCGGGCUACCUGCACCCUUCAUUUGGUUUGUGAGCCUUCCCUGUUCUGCCAGACUUUGUCUCUGAAAAUAGAAGGUCUCGGAGUUCACCCACAUUCCUAGAAGUACUUGGGGGUGGGGAUCACCAGGGAGUGUAGAUGGUCACACUGGAGCUGUAACUUAGCUGGACUCCCGAGGGGGACGCAUGUUUAGGUGUAACCCAGAAAAACCUAAAUCUGAGUCCUAAUGGCCGGCAGAGCUUUCAGGACGGGUUUACAGCAGAUGCUUCAGCAUCAUGGAAGGUCUUUUCACCACAACGGUCAAGGCAGUCAGCUCUGUGCGCUUGCUGUCUGCUUUGUUCCAUGCCCAUAAUAGACGAUGGUCAGAUGACUCCUAGUUCUCUUAUUGAAAUGGUAAAGGUUUUGCCUCCAUUUUUGUAGCCUUUGAGGCGUUAAAAAAAAAAAAAAGAUGACCUGGAUUGGUUAGAGCCCCAGAAAGAUGAUCCAAAACCAGUUGAAGGUCAGAAUGCUUUCGAAGGCUGGAAUUUCCAGUACUCCUAGGGUUCUAGGCUCAGUCAAUGGGUUGUUUUUAGUGCUGUGUUGUUCUCUGAGUAACUCACUGUUCUAUCCAGGUCUGAAUGGAAGCCAGUUUUUUUGGUUCUGAAAAUCAGAUCUUUCCUCAGUGUCUGUGAGCUUGUCUUUAAUCCACACUAGACAGUCUAUCUGUUGUUUUUAUUUUUUUUUUUACUAUGUGAAAAUAACUUCUAGUAGAGUGAACUUUAAACUGCAAUAAUAUUUUUUUUUAAAAAAUGAUGCUCUGCAUAUGAGCUACAGGAUCAGUGCAAUAGAAAACAUCUCUAAAGAUGAUAUUCUAAUGACCUUGUAGACAACUUUUCAUUGUGCUGUAAGAGUUGGAUGCUAACCUGCCACUGGGUUUCUUUACUCCUGUAACAUAUUAUUCUGUGAAUUGGCAAUGACUAUAGAUGCCCUAUGUUGUGUCUUAGGGGUUAAUGUUGAACAAAAUCAGCCCAUGUGCCAGAAGUCACAAGUUUAAUGUCAUUAAAACACACAUGCACAUUUCACUCCUCAAAGCCUAUGGUCUACUUGGGAAAGUAAGGUAAACGAACAGAGGCAGAAGUGUGGCUUGAUGGAAGUAGGGGCUGGAUCAAGGAUUCCAAGCAAUCACUGGGUGGAGGGGUUACUGUGUAGUUAAGACACGAUAAGCUGGACACAGGAAGAAAAUACAGAUGGGAAACGGGCAUUUCUACCUGGGCACUGCAUUUUAUCUGAGAUAUUUUUUCUUCCUUAUUGCUUUUGAUUGACUCUCAUUUCCACUCCAAUCUCUCACCCCACCCACCCAUGAAAGAGACUUAGCGGUUAAUUGUCAGGGUGAGCACACUGUAAACAAGUACACAGUAACUGUUCAAUAGAACACAUGAACGAUCUGGCCCAGGCAGGGAAAGGAUGUGAGCAGACAUCAUCAGUGUCUGACCUGUGGGGUGCCUUCAUCUGGGAGAGUUCAUACGUGCAGCAAUAAAUUUGAUUGUUUAUUAAAAUAAAACAUGUCAGCAAUAUGAAUGUCCAGAAUUGCACACAUCAUGACUACAUUUUAGUGGAGCUCUAUCUCCUUCCUGCCUCUGCCUCCUGGAGCAGUGACCAUGCCUCAGCCCACUCUUCUCCCAUUCAUUACAAUCACAUCACAGCACCUGUCAAGUUAGCUCAUCACUGCCGUUCUACUGAGUGCCUUAGGGAAGAACCAAAUAGGGAAAAUGUGAUGGCUGAGUAGUGAAAACUUUGGAUUUCCUGUGUAACCCUAUUGGAAUUAGGCACAACUUUUAUGUAUGUAUGUAUGUAUGUAUGUAUGUAUGUAUGUGUGUGUGUGUAUGUAUAUCUGCAUAUGUAGCUACCCACCUAUAGAAUACACAGAUAUGUGUGUGUACUUGAGAUACUCCCGCACUGAUUAAGCUUUUUAUGAAAAUUUUGUGACUGAGAUUUAGCCGUUUGGUCUGAAACCAGACUGAUGUUACUGACGUGGUUUUCACAGCUUGGGCCACACAUUUUUACACACAUCCCCAAGUUUACACAGUAAUACUGAAGCUCCAAAAUGAUGGUAUUUGGGAAUGAGGCCUUUGGGAAGUAAUUAGAUCCUGGACAAGAACCCUCAUGAGUGGAAUUGGUGGCUUUGAAAGACACUCAAGAGCUUGUUUCUCACUCUGCCGACAUUGGUAGAGAUGCCUGUAAACCAGGAAGUAGGCCCUCAACAGAAACUGUGUCUGCUGGGACCUUGACCUUGGAUUUCCCAGCCAGUAAUGUGCCGAGGAACAAAAGCUUGUCAUUUAAGAUACACAGUCAUUUCAUAUAUCUUACAGAAACUAGAACUGGCCUGCAGUGGGUCAGUUUACAGUUUGUUUUCACCCUGUGGUUAAUUAUUUGGUUGGUAAAUAUUUUCACUAAUGAAACAUUCACUAAGAAUGGGAGUAAGUAGAUAAAAUGCUAUUAUCGUUGAUAACAGAGGUCAAAAUAACUCUUACUAGGUCGAUAGCAUCUAAUCUCCCUUCUGUAUUUAUUUAAUUUUAUUGCUUUUGCAGAAGAGAAAAAGUUUUCUCACCAUUGAGAAAGAACUGGUAGAUUGUCUUAUAAGUCCUAAAAUGUCGGUACGCCUGUUAUAUUGCCCUAAGGCACACACUUCAACACAAUAGUAGAUUGCAAAAUAAGAGGACACACGACUCAACUGAGAAGUUGGACUUGGACAAAUUUCGAGCCCAUUUAAUGUACAGUGCUUUAAAAAACUCUGGAGACCAUGUCAGCGAGUGGGAGUGGUCCACACUGGACCACUGAGGGAUUGUUUUUCUCCUGAUGAAGGAUGUGAUAAUUGGUUAAAGGCUCAACUUGCUAUGUGUUUCUAAGCUGGAUCCUUUCUCAUUCCUGUCUGAUCCUUUCCCCUGCCUCCAAACACCUUUUGCUGAAGAGAAAACUACAGAGCCAGUAACAUGACACCUGCAAAAAGUAGGUGUGUAAUUGUUUGAAGGGCAAACCUU
rnacentral:lncRNA from 1 species